rnacentral:rRNA from 1 species
AUUGAACGCUGGCGGCGUGCUUAACACAUGCAAGUCGUGCGGUAACAGGCGUAGCAAUACGUGCUGACGAGCGGCGAACGGGUGCGUAAUACAUGGGAAUCUGCCCUUUAGUGGGGAAUAACCCGGCGAAAGCCGGGCUAAUGCCGCAUAAGAUCUUCGGAUGAAAGCGGGGGAUCGUAAGACCUCGCGCUGAUGGAUGAGCCCAUGUCGGAUUAGCAGUUGGUGAGGUAACGGCUCACCAAGGCGACGAUCCGUAGCUGGUCUGAGAGGACGGCCAGCCACACUGGGACUGAGACACGGCCCAGACUCCUACGGGAGGCAGCAGUGGGGAAUAUUGGACAAUGGGGAAACCCUGAUCCAGCGACGCCGCGUGUGUGAAGAAGGCCUGCGGGUUGUAAAGCACUUCGU